rnacentral:rRNA from 1 species
AUUGAACGCUGGCGGCAGGCCUAACACAUGCAAGUCGAACGGUAACAGGAAGCAGCUUGCUGCUUCGCUGACGAGUGGCGGACGGGUGAGUAAUGUCUGGGAAGCUGCCUGAUGGAGGGGGAUAACUACUGGAAACGGUAGCUAAUACCGCAUAAUGUCGCAAGACCAAAGAGGGGGACCUUCGGGCCUCUUGCCAUCGGAUGUGCCCAGAUGGGAUUAGCUUGUUGGUGGGGUAACGGCUCACCAAGGCGACGACCCUAGCUGGUCUGAGAGGAUGACCAGCCACACUGGAACUGAGACACGGUCCAGACUCCUACGGGAGGCAGCAGUGGGGAAUAUUGCACAAUGGGCGCAAGCCUGAUGCAGCCAUGCCGCGUGUAUGAAGAAGGCCUUCGGGUUGUAAAGUACUUUCAGCGGGGAGGAAGGGAGUAAAGUUAAUACCUUUGCUCAUUGACGUUACCCGCAGAAGAAGCACCGGCUAACUCCGUG